rnacentral:rRNA from 1 species
AGUGAACGCUGGCGGUAGGCCUAACACAUGCAAGUCGAACGGCGGCACAGUAAGAGCUUGCUCUUACGGGUGGCGAAUGGCGGACGGGUGAGGAAUACAUCGGAAUCUACUUUUUCGUGGGGGAUAACGUAGGGAAACUUACGCUAAUACCGCAUACGACCUACGGGUGAAAGCAGGGGAUCUUCGGACCUUGCGCGAUUGAAUGAGCCGAUGUCGGAUUAGCUAGUUGGCGGGGUAAAGGCCCACCAAGGCGACGAUCCGUAGCUGGUCUGAGAGGAUGAUCAGCCACACUGGAACUGAGACACGGUCCAGACUCCUACGGGAGGCAGCAGUGGGGAAUAUUGGACAAUGGGCGCAAGCCUGAUCCAGCCAUACCGCGUGGGUGAAGAAGGCCUUCGGGUUGUAAAGCCCUUUUGUUGGGAAAGAAAAGCAGCAGGUUAAUACCCCGCUGUUCUGACGGUACCCAAAGAAUAAGCACCGGCUAACUUCGUG